UUUUAUUAAUAUUCCAGUCUCCGAACGUGAAGGUCCUUCGAUCGAACGUUAGGAAUAACCGCGAAAAGAAAAGUUGACGUUUUUCUUUCGACUCGAUAAAUUGAUUCCCGAAAAUCGACGCUACGGAGUCGCACAGGCCCGCAAGUACGAAUGUGGACCAUAUUUGGCGCAAAAAUUUAUAAUGGACGGAUUUGAGACAUCGGAUAAAAUUUGACGCAUACAAAAUCCAAACGAGCUUGACAAGCGUAAGGAUAUGCUGCGGACUGCAGAGUAGAACGAAUUGAGGUACAACAGGACAUCCUCAGAUCAUUGAGACUCAUUGUCACAUAGGAGAGUGGAGAAAAGGAGGAGGGAAAAGCGAUGCAGAGAGAGAAUAAGUGAGCGACGAUGGGGGAGUCGAAUCCGAAGUUGGACGAAAAGAAUCUGUACAAAACUUGGAGAACUUCCUAAAAUUGGACACUGCACGAAAAAUCGAGCCCCUCCCCAGAUUCCACGGGAUGUUUAUAACCUACUCCAGAGGAUAUUCGAAUGGAAGAGAAGGACGCUCCCAAGGAACCAAAGGAGCAACGAUCGUUACAAAGACCUCUAUAAAUAUGAAAAACAGACAUCUGCUCUGCAGUGCCAACUCGUCUGCAGACGAAGAAAAGAAACGAGGAUUUUCCACAACCUCCCCUAGCCAAACGCCUUGGGAGCUAUCGAGCUACCGGGCGCGGAUCUGAAGACGACUUCGAUUCUGCUAUUUCUUUACGAUUGUGAGUAACUUCGGAUUCUCCUUGUUUCGCACGGGUAUUUCAGUUUUUUCUUUUUUUUUUCUGUUCUUUUCUUCUAGUCAGUUCUGCAGCAGUCAACGAAACUGCGCAUUUCCAUUGCUUGGUCUGCAUCGACAAAGUCAAGUUCGGAUACCUGGAGUUUUUUGUGCCCCCCAUCGAACCCACCGCGAGCCGAACCAGUUCGAUGAAUAUUCUCUCAACAUUGGACAGUUUUGGCGAGUGUAGAACUUAUUCAAAUUUC